rnacentral:misc_RNA from 1 species
AAGUCGUAACAAGGUUUCCGUAGGUGAACCUGCGGAAGGAUCAUUAACACGUAUCCAACGUUAAACAACCCUGUGAACUUUCAACGCUCUUGUAACCAGGCGGAACAGCAAUCCCGGUAAAUCAGUGGGCGGAAAAGUUUUGAUUCGGGACCUCUGUCCAAAAGUUACAAUCGAGCUAGGAGCAGUGGCAUGGUUUCCCUAAGCAGUGCAGAAGGAUCCACUGAGUAAGGAUAACGCAUCACGGUUGCCAGAGGUCGAUCACCGGCCGGCAGACAUGUCACAGGGCUAUAUGCCCCUUCAUUCACAACGCCGGGCACAAAAACCGAACAACUGUUAACAAUGGAUAUCUUGGUUCUC